CUAUUCUACCGCUUUCGUAGUACUUGACCUGGCAACACUGGUCAUGUUGUGAAAAUUUUAACCAUAUUUUUCCAAUAACAAAACAAAAUGGUUACUUAAGUGAUUCUAAUUUGCUUCACAGGAAUUCACAAUGCACAGAUGUUUCGUCGGCUUUUAUAUUUGGUGCUUUUUACAACCUUGUCUUUUUCAUUAUCGGUUUUCCAAUAGCGGUAGGAAAUAUUUCUUCGAUCGAUCAUAUUUGAUGGUCAUACUCGGGAUAGAUAAAGACAAGUCUAGAGUAUAGAUUAUGAGUGAAGUAUUUCAGUGCUUAUUUUAACAAAUAUCUUAAAUGGAACAUAAGUGUGGAUGUUAUUGUUAAUAAGGCAAAAAGGCACUUUAUAUUUUAAGGUUUUAGAUGCAUCUCAUUUAGAUUUCGAAGCAGCCCUCUUGAAACCAGUUAACCAAAAAA
rnacentral:lncRNA from 1 species